AGCAGCUCCCCGACCUGGGGCUGCUCCGAAGCGGCCAUGACGCUCUCCCGGCAGCUCCGCCGGGCGCAGUCCGACUGUUUCAGGAGGAAGUGAAUGAGAUCAUCUUCACAGAGUGCCCAGCGCAGCCUCUGGCACUUGUUUCAGUCAUUCCUGGAAAACCUUAAUUUGACCCAAAGGCGAGUUCUCCUGUUGGCUCACACUGGACUCUGAAAUACUGAUUUCAUCUACAAGAACUGUUUACUAUCAGUGUUUGAAUGCUGUCUAGCAUGUUACAUAAAAUUUGUUCAGAAGGAAGACUGCCUCUGACCUUUGACUCUCCCUCCCAUUUCCUGGCCAAAUGUCACAAGAUUGGGGGGGAAGGUGGCACCUUAAAGGGGACACUUCUACCCAAAGUCUGUGCUCCGCUUGUCCAUAUGCUCAAUUCUGAGUCCUUGGGGCCUCGCUGGUCUUUCCUCAUGCAGUGAAUGUCUCUGUGCUUCAUGCAGCUCCGGCAUCUCCACUGCAAUUACAGACAAGACUGGUUUCCUUUAGUUGUGGCUGUGGGAUCUAGUUCCCUAACAGGCUCAAACCCAGGCCGCCUGCGUUGGGAGUGCAGGGUCUUAGCCACUGGACCACCAGGAAGUCCCAAGACUGGUUUCCUGGCGGGGCUUGGGUCCACAUCUCCCAAGAUAGUCUCUGAAAAUACUUGCUCUCAGCAGAUGGCGCUCCCUCACACGGAUUCUGGGAGGCUUAUUUGUUGUUGUUCCCAGAGGGUUAACCUGUCUUCUGAUUUGGGCCCCCUUUGCCCUUCUAUUUCACAAUGAUGAAAAACUUCUAUAGUACUGCUAAUACUGAUAGCAAGCUUGUGGUGGGCCCUGGUAUCAGGACUGAGAUGCAGCCUCUAGGGCUGCACUGGCUGCUCAGUGCCUGUUCUGAAUGGUCAGUGCUCCAGACUUCUGUUGUCAAAUCUUUUAAAAGGCACCAGACUUUGCACAGAUUGUUUUAUUAAAUCCUUACAAGCCUAUGCGGUAGGCACUGGCUUUAUCUCCAUUUUAUGGUUGAGGGAAAGAAGCCCAAAUGGAUCAAGGAACUAUCUAAGUGGGACAGCUGGGCCUUGAACCUGGGCCUGUCUGACCCUGAGAUUGUUCUCUCAGCAACCACCCUGUCCCCGGGAGCACUCUGACCUGCUGUGACAUCUGCUAACUGAAGAUCCCAAACUUAG